UACGGGAGGCAGCAGUGGGGAAUAUUGCACAAUGGGCGCAAGCCUGAUGCAGCCAUGCCGCGUGUAUGAAGAAGGCCUUCGGGUUGUAAAGUACUUUCAGUCGUGAGGAAGGUGUUAAGGUUAAUAACCUUAGCAAUUGACGUUAGCGACAGAAGAAGCACCGGCUAACUCCGUGCCAGCAGCCGCGGUAAUACGGAGGGUGCGAGCGUUAAUCGGAAUUACUGGGCGUAAAGGGCACGCAGGCGGUUAAUUAAGUUGGAUGUGAAAUCCCCGGGCUUAACCUGGGAAUGGCAUUCAAGACUGGUUAGCUAGAGUCUUGUAGAGGGGGUAGAAUUCCAUGUGUAGCGGUGAAAUGCGUAGAGAUGUGGGAGGAAUACCGGUGGCGAAGGCGGCCCCUGGACAAAGGACUGACGCUCAUGUGCGAAAGCGUGGGGAGCGAAACGAGGGAUUAGAU
rnacentral:rRNA from 1 species